GAGGACAAGAACAAAUUACAAAAUAUGAAAAAUGAUCUUAUCUCAUCUGUAACCAUGCACACCUCAUAUCUGCCCAAAUCACCAGUCAAAUAUGCUUUUUAAGUUUUUAUCAUGACAUAAAUAAAAUAAAACAUGAUUUGCCGAAAGUAGUGUGUCCACAAGUCAAUUAGUCGCCCGACACUUCAAUUUGGACUGGUUGACUGGAGAGUCCAACUCUUUGUUAGUAGCUCGAAGCAGCAGUACCCUAAUUACCAUUUGUAAUAAAACAUGUCAUUUCAAUUAAAAAUAAUUGGG
rnacentral:lncRNA from 1 species